UCAGCCAUGCUCCUGUUUCUCAUCUCAAUACUGGGGAUUGUAUUUACCCUGAGAGAUGCCAGAGCCCAGUCAGUGACCCAACCUGAUGGCCAUGUCUUGGUCUCUGAAGCAGCCUCACUGGAACUGAGGUGCAACUAUUCCUAUAGUGCAGCAGUUUACCUCUUCUGGUACGUCCAGUACCCCCGCCAAGGCCUCCAGCUUCUCCUUAAGCAUUUGUCAGGCCAGGACACCCGCAUUCCAGGCAUUAAAGGAUUUGAAGCUGAAUUUAGGAAGAGUAACUCUUCCUUCAACCUGAGGAAAUCCUCUGCCCAUUGGAGCGACUCGGCUGAGUACUUCUGUGCUGUGAGUGACACAGUGCCUGGGACUGCAGGGGGAGCUGAACACAAACCACUCAGGGGAGUGGAGUUUUCAGAGACUCAAGAUGCCUUCCUGUGGUAUUUUGAACAAUGUUUUAUUGUGAUUCCUUGUCAUCAGCUCAACCACAUUGCCCCCAAGGACCACGAGGGGCGCUUCAUGCAGAUUGGUGUGAGAAGGAGAACUACCAGCUUCUGA